rnacentral:lncRNA from 1 species
UUGUUGCGACCGCGUUGAGUUCCAGGUUGUUGCGACUGCGUUGAGUUCCAGGUUGUUUUGACUGCGUUGAGUUCCAGGUUGUUGUGACCGCGUUGAGUUCCAGGUUGUUGCGACUGAGUUGAGUUCCAGGUUGUUGUGACUGCACCAGGCCACCUGGCGGUCAACCUCUCCUCUGUACUUGGACUCAUCACCUUGGGGGAUUAGUCUGCAAGUUGUUUUCCCAGUGAAGUGACCUGUCUGUCAGGAAGUCAGUGAUCCACCAACAGAUGGAGUAGGGUACGUUCAGCUGGAUGAGUUUGUCCUGCAACAGUUCUGGGAUGAUGUUGGUGAAUGCUUAGCUAAAGUCCACAAACAGUAUCUUGACAAGUCCCAUCACAACACAUGAAUAUUGCACUUGACUAACACACACAUACAGAAAAUGCACAAAGCCAGAGUUUGAAAAUGAUAAUUUAAUCACAGAGCAGAUCUAUAUUCAAGGUUGCUGGAUUGAAUCCCCGAGCUGACAAGGUAAAAAUCUGUCGUUCUGCCCCUGAACAAGGCAGUCAACCCACUGUUCCCCGGUAGGCCGUCAUUGUAAAUAAGAAUUUGUUAACUGACUUGCCUAGUUAAAUAAAGGUUAAAUAAAAAAAUAAGAUAUA